rnacentral:rRNA from 1 species
UACGUAGGGGGGCAAGCGUUGUCCGGAAUCAUUGGGCGUAAAGCGCGUGUAGGCGGCCCGGUAAGUCCGCUGUGAAAGUCGGGGGCUCAACCCUCGGAUGCCGGUGGAUACUGUCGGGCUAGAGUGCGGGAGAGGCGAGUGGAAUUCCUGGUGUAGCGGUGAAAUGCGCAGAUAUCAGGAGGAACACCAAUUGCGAAGGCAGCUCGCUGGAACGUAACUGACGCUGAGACGCGAAAGCGUGGGGAGCAAACAGG